CGGAUAGAAGCAUAAUAGGAGAUGUGUCUGCUUUGGGUGCAGAAGUAAGUUAGUUCGAAUCUGACCUAUCCGA
rnacentral:tRNA from 1 species